UAUUUACAAUGUUCAUAACCGUGAAGUGCAUCAAAAGUGUCUAUAACACUGAUUAACCCAUCAGUGGAUCAAAUGGAGGUGAUAUUCUGCAGACUGUGUGCUCUCGCUUCCUAUCAGAUAAUGAACCAAUCAGCCGAAAGCCUGCUUCCUGCUGCAUAUUAAAAACAUCGAGACCUCAGACACCGUCCCACAACGCUCUGUGAUGAGGGUUUCUGUACACCGUUACAUGAAACAUGAUGAAACUAGACGCUGGGGUGUUCCAGAACGCAGGUUAUGUGACAAACUCGGGUAACCUCAAGUAUGCAAGAAGAAGAAGAAAGAAACUUUUUCUUGGCAUCCGUUUCCAUAGAGACUGCUGGGAAUGUCUUGUGUGUUGAAUGAACUUUCUCCUGAAAGCAGCAUCCCCAGAGAAACAAGACAUCUGUGGAAUAUGAGAGAAAUACAGCAGGUGUCAGAGUUCAGCUGCAGAUAUGUGGACCAACACACACACGCGCACACACACACACACACACACUCACACACACACGCACACACACACA